UGAGGCACCUGAGCCGCACGAGAAAACUUCAGCUGGGGAAGGUCGCGGAGGAGUGAGACGAGUCGCUCUGCCAGCAGGGAAGGGGGACGGAAAGGCUGCAGCCAGCGCUUUUCCUUAAUUUCUGUUUCAAUUAUAUUUAAAUCUUAAAAUGCUACCUUUCUUACGAUGCUAAUGAAAUUUCCAAUUAGGUGCAAUCAGCAUUUUAAUGGAAUAAUUGGAGUAGCUAUGCAGGUACAUCCUGGUCGUAGGUUGUGUUGAGUUCCAGCAAGCAGCCAAGGGCACGAUGGAGCAAGUAAGAAAUAAUCAACUGGCUUCAGAAAGUAGUGAGUUAAUGGGUACAUCAAAGAAUUAUUCUGUCUUCAAGUAAUCAGUAUCCCCCCCAUUUCUGGAAGCAGGAUCAUAACCAGAUUUUUUUCUCCCUCUAUUUAGAGAUGAAUAAACAAAAACAUGUUUCUUGGGGAAAGAACACUUCUGUUGUUCUGCAAUAACUGAUUCUGCUGUACUAACAUUAAACUGGUCAAAAAAAAUAUACCUUUUUCUAAUAAGGACUUUUUAAAAGAUACAAAACAGCUUUGAAGACUAUUGGGAGCAUUCAGCACAUCUGCUGAAUCAGGCUGCCUGUUCCCCAUCAAGCAGUGUUCUGCAAAUGUGAGAGUACAAGCAUCUCCUGAUUCAGAAACCGCUAAAGAAAGAGAUGAAUUUUGUCAGGAGUCAAAAGAUCCUGAGUUCCGCUCCCACAUACAUUGACUGUUGUUUGACUUCAAAGUCCUCAGUACUGACCUAAACCUCAACCUUCUACCUAGAAGGAGGUCAAGUGUAAGUGUAUUACAAAGAGCUUGCAGCGCAUCCUGUAGUGUAAGCAAUAGCCUGUAGAAUUCUUUAAUGGUUUGGUGGAAUGUGCUCAUCCCAGCCUUACUGAGGCAGUGUUUGUUUCCAUAGUAGUCACUUAAAAAUGGCACAUUUUUCUAAUUUGAAUUCUCAGUGGAUAGUCUUCUAAAAUUCGUAUCAGCUCAGAGUUUUAGCUUAUCCUCUUCAGCAAAGUAUUGCCCGGUGCCACCUAAAUAAUAUGGUGCUAAGUUAGUUUAAUCAGCCUAAUGAGGACCAUACAAUCAUAGGGAUAAUUGCCAGUGAUGCAGGUUCUCUGCAGUGGUGCUAAUGAUUCCCAUCAGAUGAGGAUGUUUGUAAAAUUUCAUAAAUCUUACCAGCACCCAGACUGCUUCAAUAAGUAAAAGUCUCCCACUUCGUAAAAUGAUGCUCCCCCAAUGAUGCAAAAAUGAGAGCAUAUGUUUCUGUAGCCCUACACAGCCUGACUUCUCAAAGUAGCAGCACAUCCAGACCUGCAGGGACGUGGCCAUAGCAGCACCUGCAAACUGUCACUGCUCUGUGUAGACUAGGAAGAAGACUGAAAAAAAGAAACAAGACUGUCAGCAAUAUGAAUAGAAAAUAUAAUUUAUUAAAGGAGGUUUUAAAGAUAGCAUAACUGUCUAGGCUGCAUAUUGUACAAUUAGAUAGAUGCCAGGAUCUCACUGUUAAAACCUCAGAGUUCUGAAGAUUUCUGUGUUUUGGUUUGGUUUUUCUUCCUUCCCUCUGAAUGACAGAAUGGAAGGUUGGAAGGGACUGGUCCAAGCCCCCUGCUACAGCAGAUUCACUUACAGCUUGUUGCCCAGCCCUAUGUCCAGAUGACUUUUGAAUAUCUAGCAAGCUGGAUUUCUUUGGUGUCGUAAUUCUUUUGCUUCCUUUUUCCCAUUUUGCCUUCUCUUAAUUCUCCCCCAGACAUAUAAUCUAGAUUUUCCAGUUGGCUUGGGAGACACAGUAGCAGCCCUCCUGUGGCUGGGAAAGCUUCCAAGGCCAAAUGUAGAAUUAGCUUUCCAAACAGACACAUCUUGUAACCCCCACAGCUCCCAUGAGACUUAAGUGACAGGUUAUCCUUUGAUAUGGAUUAGGUACUUUAGGGAGACACGAACACAGACAGUUCCUUACCAAGAGCUUCAUGAUACUGUUACCUAGUUGAAGGUCUUCAGCAGUUCCCUGACAGUAAAGCUUUCUGAGUGCUAAAAUAUGGGAGUUCAGGUGUCUCCUGCAGAGAGCAUAGGCUGAGUGACAUCGUAUAAUAGGAAAAGGAGCUUCACUGAUAGCACUCUUUUUUUUCCGAGAAAACACAAAAACUGUUGCUAGGUUUGCAACAAGCCACACCAAAUUAGCAAUCAAUAAAUACAUGUGAUUUUCAAAUAAGCACAGAAAGCUGGAUAUGUCCCUGCUGUCCUCUUAGUUGUUAGGAGAAAAACAUUUCCAAAAUUUAAUUACAAUAUUUUAAGUUUUUAAAACUGGUAUUAAUAUAGUCUUGUUUAAUUCACUUUCAUCUUAAUACCAAAGGAAAAAAAUCUCUUGGAUUAAAAUUACUGGUUUAGGCAUGCCUGAAUUUUUUAUUACUUUCAGCAACAUUUUUGUAUGAGCAAGUGAACACUAAAUUGCUUUACAACCUAAGUAAUAAAAUAUAGUCUCUGUAUUGCACUUUGCUAUGGUCCUGGUUUCAUUUCAUGGGUAUUUUUCUUUCAAGAGCAGUAUACAGCAUGCACGUCUACAUAACACUCAGCUGUGACCUACAAGAACAGAAAUGACUGAAAGGAUUUGCACACAGGCACCAAAAAAUUAAAAGUAUCCCAAUUAAAAAAUAUAUUCCCCUCACAAAACAGGAUUUCCUAAAAAACAAGGAGAAAGAGUCAAAUGAACAGGGCUAAUUUUAAGAUGCUCAUGACCAGUUCUUAUCAGUUCUUAUACUGUGUCUGUGAUAUCUGAGCUCCUUGCUUCCUACCAUUGUUAUGUUGGUGGGCUUCUCACCCUUCAGUCUUUUCUCCAAGAGAAUGGUGUGCUUUUUUGAUUGGUUAUUUCGAGUUUGACUUACUCAGUUCAAGGACUUUGCUAGAGUACGGACCCAUUAAAUAAUUCCAUAGAAUUCUACAUCAUUACAGUCCUGCCAUCCAUUUUUCAGUUUUUCAAGUUUGCUACAGUUCCAAUGCUGAGCACUGAAUUUUUUAAGUUACAGUCAGUUGCAGUGCCCAUUCAUCAUUGCCAGAGUUAAGUUACCCAGGCUUCACAUGCAAAGGUGUUCUUCAGGAGUCAGAGCUGCCACUGCCUAGCAGAAAAGGAAACUGAUGACUUGGCUGGCUGUAAAAGUACUCCGUGGGUCACAAAUACCGAGUGCCAAGUCAACAAUUUUUUCCCCUUCUGGCUAAAAUGUGAUCCAUAUGCUCUGUACAAAGUUUAUUUUUUGAGAUGGCAUCUGGAGUACAAAAGAGACAUUACAAUCCAAGAGAAAUAUAGUAGCAAUAUAUGAAUUUAUUACAAGCCUUUAAAUGGCUUUCUAGUUCCCAUUAAGUUUCAGCUAUCAAAAAUCAUCCGAAAUUUCUUAACCUUUCGAAAACAAUUACAGAGAUGAGGAAAAGUAUCAGGCACCUCAAAAGAGGUAGUAUUCAUCAAAACCUGGUGAUGUUUUCCUUAGAAAGCUUUCUGUGUUGCCAGUGUUUCCUUUCAUGUAAUAACUCUACAACAAAGAUUUCUUCUUCCAUUACUGUGAUUGUUUCUAUUGAGUUUGAUAUUCUAUGCAAAGUCAUUAUCUGCCUCAUGAAGAGCUAUGAGCCAUUAGUCAACAGCUGACUAAAUCCAGUUCUUAAAGUAUCUUUUUACUUUAAAAAAAGGAACUGAAGUUACAUCCAGGAGAAUAAAAUCCCUGGGUUCCUGCACUUUAUAAAUGAGACAUUAUUUUUUAUUGCCAAAGCAUAGCCUUGGAACGUUACAAACCCCUGUUGUAAAAUUUUCUGAAAAAGCACACAUGCACACACACACUAGCUAAAUAUUGCAGUGCUCCAAGCUGUUUAAAAUAAUGAAGGUCUAGCAGUUCCUGACCUAGAAAGCUGUCAUCUUGCUUUUUAUUUAGUAUUCCCCUAAAAAUGGACCUGCUCAGAUGGCAUGUUCUCAAAAGAAAUUGAAGCAUCUUACUUAUGCUGAAAUAUCCAAUUUACUUUUUAUCCCAUAUCAAGUUAUCUGACAGAAUUGGGAAUAACAUCACUGGAGGGCUGAUUUUGUACACUUCAUUUUAUCUGGUGGGGUUUUUUUAAAUGUACUCAGUAAAUGAUAAUAUAUCCACAAGCUUCAGUUCAAGCAACUUCAAAUAUCCUUUGUAUGAUUUUCUAUUCACACCAAGAUAGAAGCCAUGCAACUUCAAAAUCUGGACUUGACCCAAACUUGUUGUAAAGAGCAAGAAUUUCUUUGCGUCUUCAUUCUCAUAGAGAAUUCAACCUGUGUUUUGGAUAUUUUGUCCUUUACACACUGUGAUCUUGACCACAAACAGCCUCUGUGGUAAAAGAUUUCCUAUUCUCUGCAGAGCAGGAAACUUGAAAGUUUCCAUUAUCCUCAGGCUCUCAAUAAGGAAAAGAACAAAUCACUGGAAAAUCCAAGAUUCAUAAACCCUCACUGGGCUUAAGGAGGAUGAGUGUCUACCUCUCUGACUCCUCUUAUUUUCAGAUGUAUUCUGUAACUUGUUUUCAUUUAUCAUGUUCACUUUCCUGCUUUCAAUGAUUUGUUCAGGAAUGCUCUCAUCCUAUUCAGAAAAAAAAAAUCCAUCUCAGCUUGAAGAAUCUAGCUCAUAUCAUAUUAAAAUUGCAACCAUUAAUAGGAACCACUGCUCUUUCAAGACUUUAGUGCAGCUUAUAUACAUUUUUAGCACCUUUAUAGUUGUUUUCUUUCUGUUUGGCUACACAUUACCGUAAAACAUAAGUAGAAGUAGCAGUACUUAUGAGAAUAUUGGUAAUAGAGUUGGCUGUAUAUAUUAAGUACAUUUCAACGACAAAUAUGCUCUGAGAAUUUACUUUUAUUUGCAGUAUGGAAGACUGCAGACAGGCUUUAUUCAGAGUUCUGCUUUGCAGUUCAGCCACAAAGCAGAACUCUUAGUACCCUCCUGGAGAUGGAUUGGCCAGGUUCAUAUUCAGCUUCACUGACACCCAGGGACUGAAGUAAUUAAAUAAAAGGCUUGCAACAUGAACUGACAGUUACAUUCUUCUUCCUUUCUGAGGGAUAAAACUAUUAAUUUAAUUCCUCGGUAGUGACAAAGAACAUAAAAUUUCAAACCUUCAAAACUGUUCCUUUCCCCUCCUUCUGUAUCACUGCCAGAGCACAGACCAUUUUUCUGGGCACUCUUGGCAUUCGGGUAGUGUGGGUGGCAGCAAGGACUGAACCAAAACCUUUUGGCAUGUCCUGAUGUCCCAAGAGUCUGGUCUAGUCCUUCUAGCCCUCAACCAGUAACUAAUACUAUGCAGACUAGCCACUAGAGGGGAAUAAAGAAUCGUACUGUUCUAACAUGGGUUACUGCAUCACAAACUGCUUUGCAGGGACAUCUCAGCCAUGGCCAUGAACAAGUGCUGUAUCUGACUCAGCUGGCAAUGCUGCUUCAUGCUGCAGCCAUUACAUUUGUAUUCAGACAGCAAGUUUACUUAAGGGUCUUUAAACCUGUAAUAUGUUUGUACACUCACUGCAUAAUUAUUAUAAAUGCUUGUACUGCUAACUGUAUCCUAAUUAUUUGCAGUGGUAAAGUUUUGUAGGCUCUGAACCACCAAGAAUUUCACAUCCAAUUUAGUUUUUUCAGAUGCUAAACACAGAAUAUGGUGUUUUCGAGGGCAGGGAGGUGUGGCCAUCAGAGAUCAGUCACAGCUAACUAGCCUAGGAGGGCUGUCAACCCUUAGGUGCCUGUAAGACCCUCAUUUGGGAAGCUACUGAAAGCAGGUAAUGGUACUAAAGCUGCUGAAUAGUGAGUGAACGGUGCAGAAACCAAUCUAGAUAGUGGAAGUUUAGGACAACUGAUUUUCAGGUGGUUGAGUUAGCUUUUGCCUAUACAACUUCGACUUCUCUGCUCUAAACAGUGCAAGUUAAGACCAGUGAAUAAUUCUUAUUACCCACCAGGAGUCCCUAAAAGAUACAGAAGGCUCGUUUUUAUUACCAGAACAGACCUAAGAAUGAGCAGGAUUAUGUUAAAUGAGCAUACCAGUGAAAUGACAUCCUCCAACACUUCAAAACUAAACAAAAGGAGCAGUUCUAAUCCAAAAUCAGGAAGAGAUACCUUGAAAUAAAUUGUAAACCUUUAAAUUUCACAGUUUCAAGGCCUCUGAACUCCCUUUCUCUCCUGUCCGCUCUCCUGACACAGAGCUGUGAUCUCUAGCAACUCUUUUAAUAAUGAAGGCAAAGAUUCUGCUAUAGCCAUUUGAUUGCAGGAAGCAGAGUCAGAGAAAAAAAAAAAAGGCAACACAAAAGGAGUAGUGCUAAAAAAUAUAUGAGUUGGCAAUGCCACUGUAUAUUAUUUUCCAGGCCUAACAGAGCUGGAUUUGAAGACAAUAUCCAGGGACAAGAGCUUAAAAAUGGAAAAUUUACUAACGUAAAGAUCCUUAUCUUCACACAGAAAUCCAGGCAGGAGAUUACAACAGCAAGGCAGAGACAUUUGGAUUUCCCAGGACAACAGGGCUGAGAAUUCCUCAUUUCAUCCAUUUGGUUUCCAAGGAACAGAAGGGGCUGCAGCUGCUCCCAGCUCCUGCCUGCUAUCCCCAGUCUCCCAUCAGUCAUGACACUAUUGAUGUGAAGAUUAAAUACAAACUUUAAAACAACUUCUGCAUCAAACCACUCUGAACUUGGCUAAAAAAGUAAGACUAAAUGAUUUUCUAUCACCAAUAGUCCUUUUUUUUUCCGACUAGAUGUGAUUUUCACUAAAGGGCUGCAAAUCAGCUGGACAGAUGCACAUCAAUCCUGAAAAAUGGAGUUGUAAAAUACAAGUACAGACUGAAAUUUUCUGAGAAAUUGAUUAUUUCACAAUAGCUUGCCUAAUGUCACUGAAAAGGAAAAAUAAUUUUUUGAGUUUGUGUUCACUACCUACAGAGGUGCCGUGCAGCAAAGUGCAUAUUUAGGUUACCAGAGCAUCCAAUUCAUUCUCAGGUUUCAAUUAGGCUUUAAGCCAUUCUACAUCCAAAAAUGCACCAAAACAUCCCUUAGAAAAAUGCCCUGAGUAGAAAAGAUGAGGUGAAACAAAUUGGUUUAGUAGUUACCACAGUCAGAGAUGUCAAAAUUAAUUAUGUUCUAUGUGAAUAGGAAAAAAAUAUGAAAAGGAUGCAUGUAUGCUUAGUCUAAUUAAAAACUAAAGCUUCUCUCAACAUGUAAUUUGAUGCCAUUAUUGUUAUUUUAAUUACUUUUCUUCCCAUGCAUCAUGAGCUAAUCAGUCCUACAUUUGACCACUUUUUACAUCAACUAUACUACAAGUAAUCUUUAUUUUCUGCUGUCAUUUAAAUUAAUAAGUAUAGAAGGAAUAUUAUUUAAAUCAGUGCAUAAAGUAAUAAAAAACUUAGUGUUAGAGUAAAUCACUUUGGGGUAAACUUUUUUGGGCUAUUUGUCUAUAAUUAAUAGUGAUGGCUGGGUAAUAUGCAUUGAUUCUGAUGAACAAUCUGAAGAAGAAAAUAGGCAUGAUAAAACUAAAAAGGAAGACAAAUGUUGUUCAGGACUAUAAAAAAUGGUUGGACAAAGUAUAGGCAGGCCUAAUUCUAGAUUUUUCCACAAGCUUUAAGAUGUUCUCACUGUGGAAAUGUGUCUCCAUGCAAAUAAUACUGAAGCUUGCAUUCUCUGCACCCAUAACUGAAACUUUGCUAAACGGUCUAGCUUUUCAACAGAGGUAAAUUUCACCAAACAUUAAGUAUUGGAGGGAAAAUGAGCAUGAUGAACAUACACUAAAGUAAAAUACUGUUUUUCACAAUUACAGUGAACUCUGCUGGAGUUCAGGACUUAAUUUCAGUCCCUUUAUGAAUCUUUGUGAAGCUGAGUUGUUGCCAGUGUGGAAGGGCUACUAUAAAAUCAGUGUUGGAUGGUACCUGUCCACUGAAGGCCAGUUUAACAUACAGAAAGCAAUUAUUAUGCACAUGAAGUGUAUUAAUUCCACUCUGAAUAAAAGCCAACACUUCAAAAAGUAACUGUCUGUGGAACACACACCAUCACCACAUAGAAUGGCCAUGUGCAGCCUGUGUUAAAGGGAUUUUCUGCCUUUUGUCCAUUAAGCAUCAGCAUGCAGGGGUUUCAUUCACAAAAGGCACCACUGUGGUUACACAGUUGUGCAAACCUCAGAAUAAAGAUAUCCCAACUCCCUUAUCAGGCAUACCUCCACUAUUCUACAACAGGAUAAUCAAACCCAGCUCUACCAGAUAUGUUCACACACCAACUUUCAAUAGAUGUCUGACUUAUUGAAGUGGAUGGCACGAACUUAUCAAGCCAGAGAAUCAUUCUUGGGAGGAAAGUAUCUAUUAGUCAUAUAUCAAAUCUACCCUUGGUUACUGAAUUUUUUUGUAGGUUAAAAACAUAUUUUUAUCAUAUUUUAUCAGGGUUAUUUGAUUCAAUAUUAGUACUUUUUAAUAAUGAAGUAUGAAACACACAGGAAAUUAUGUUAAUAUUGUUUUCCUGUAGAUUUAAAAAUUUUUGUCAUCCACUCUAUUUCCAUAAAUAAAUGUAAGACUCUACCUCUUUAAAACAGAGAGGCUUUCAAAGAAAAAUUAGGAAGAAAAAAAAAGGCACUUCUUUUCACUGAACAUCAUCUGUCAGUGUUAAAAAACUGCAGGGAGCAUCUUUUCACAAUCAUCUUUCCUGUAAGAUCUUAGCACCUCUCAUCAGCUGGAAGUGUUGCAAGGAAGCAAUUUCAUUAUUAAAUAUUCCUUGCUUGAUGAGAGAAGAGCAUUUCCAAAAUUUUGAGCUAUUCCAUGCCUUUUAUUUACUCAUUUUCCAUCAUACUUGCAAAAAUAAACACAAUCUAAAGGCAUCUGAAACCCCAGCUUUGACCAUUAUCUCUCAUUCUGUGCAGAAAGUCUUUCCAUUAAAGGCUUCUUCCUCCGUAAGGAGGCAAGUAAAUCUGGUAAAAAAUUGCAAUUUACUUCUUGUCCUGUAAUAAUUCAAGCUAUUCACUUACCUCUCUGCCAAAAAUUAAAGCAGAUCUGGUUACGUUUUUAAUUUCAGAUUAUUUGAGAGGCCCCAUUUUAUUUUGAUUGUAAAGUAGAAGAUUUUUAUGAAAAACACCGGUUUCAAAGAACUGGACUGCAGAUAAGGCAAUUGUGCAGGAACUGAAGCACAAAAAAGAAUGAUUCCACAGAGCACAGUAAUAGCACUGUGUUUCAAACCUGCUACUAAACAUCCAUAAUGUUAAAAGAAGACCAAACAGGUAAAAAGCAUACAUUGAAAUCCAUACUAGUAAUGACUUAGAUCCAUCUUUUCUGUCUCACUGCAUUUAAUGCAUUUCUCUGCAUUUUCAGAUUGCAUUUUAAACAGUGUCACAGAAUUUAAAACAUGCAAGACAUCAGUAAUACUAUAAUCCAUCCAGCGUUAUAUAUUAGAUAUACUAGAGAUGACAAAGCAAAAACGUACCAGAUUGCCUAUGAAAGACAAAUAUAGAGCAAAAUAAAACAAUUACUGCUGUAGGAACAGCAUAGCACUAUUUGUGCUAAGCGUCUUGCCUAUUCUAUUUUAAAACAAAUUCUCACAUAUUUCAAAAUUAUUUCAUUGGUUUUAGGUAGUAACCAGCACAGAAUGUAAUACCCUAUUAUCCUAAACCCUAAAUUAUUCUGCUCUACUAUUCUAAAUAAUACUCUAUUAUCCCAAAUAAUUAUUUUACACAAAGAGAAGUUUGUUUAUGCCUCAGUGGGUAUGGUAUCAUAAAAAUAUACCAAUUAUAGACAGACAUAACAUAACUACUAUUUAGAAAAUCAAAGAGAAUCUUGACUAAAUGGGGAGGUAGCAGGACUAAAAGCCCAGUUUGGACCAGAUGGCUGGAGAAGGGUAUGGAUUAGUUUUUCAGUCUGUGCUAACCUGAAAGCAGUCCCAUUGAUCCCUGAAAGCUUUCUUACUGGGGAGUUUAUAGCCUAAAUACAGCUGCAAAACUCAAAGGAUUUUCUUUGUAGCAUGCACUAAAUGUAGCAUGAACUAAAUUCUUAGAGGAAAAUUUCUGAAUCUAAGAGGAAGAAUUCUUAUGCUAGAAUGUCAAAAAUACAAAUCCAGGGUACCUAUUUUUCACCUUGUUUCAUUUGAUUCACAGAAAGGCAGCUGGCCAUGAUGGACAGCUUAUGGUGCUACUCUGCUUUGCAAUGUGGAAGAUGAAGCAGGUUUGGCUGGCUUGCAGGACCACUGCCAGCUACAGGAGACAGCAUAAUCAACACUUGGCAAAACCUGCCUCAUUCCUCAGCCAAGUGUCUGCCAGCCAGAACCCCACUGCUUGAAGGAUGGCAACACUAAGGAGAGAAUUUCUGCAGGGGAAAUUAAAAUUCAGAAAAGAAAAUAAGACUCUGAUUUUUCUGGGUUUCAUCAAGAUUAUAGAAGAUUUUUCCCUUGAUCCUCCAGGAAAUGCAAAAAUUUAAAUAAACUUGGGAUUUGUUUCAUUUGGAUGCUUUAAAUUAUUCCUUUGAGCCUGUAAGGCCUAUGGUCCCUGAACAGACUUCUGCAGCUGCUGCACCUAAUUUCAUUUUGGCACAGAAAGAGGCUAGGACAUGUCUGUGCAGUGCAGUCUUCCUCUUCUCCCUCAAGCAGGAGUUAGAAUCCUGAUUCAAUAAAAUUUAAAAGUGCCUUUCAUCACCUGCAUUUGUACAGACUGAUAGCAACUUCAAACAGAAUGAACACAAGCAAAAAAUGCAGAAUGUUGUUUACAGGGUGACAGCUGGCUGGCAGGCAGAAAUAUAAUUCUGAAAGAUAAAAAAGGUAAAAUAAAAAUGCAAACUAUUGAUUUCUCAAACUAAUUCAGAGCUCUGUUCCUCUUGUUGAUCAACAAGGCAUGUUCGCUUAUGAUAAUCCAAGGGGAGGUUUGUAGCACUCACACUUAGGACAGUGAAGGUUAAAGGGACUUAUUUUUCCCCAUCCUUGGUUUUCUGGUGCUCAAAAUGUAUUUGGAAAGAACUGCUGUCUGAAAUAGAUAUAGGAUUGCAGGCUUUAAUGUAAAUUGGUAAACAUAUUGUCAUAAUAAAAAUCAAAGAAAAGCAAUCACCAGCAAUUCAAAAUCCCCAGCAUUAUCUAGGAUAUAGGGAUGAAAGUAUGAACUCUGUCAAGCUGUUUUAGCCUAGUGCAGCGUAAAAAGCAAUUUAAUAUGGAUCACAGAGAAGUCAGAAACCAAGACACUGCUGAUCCAGAGAUCAGCAAUCACUGUCAAAGCAGACAAAGCUGCUGUUUCAUAGUUCUUGGCCUCUUCUGCAUUGGACUAUCACCCAGUGCCUCCCUCACAAGCUAUCUGGGACUUGCUUCUGGUUAGAAGGAGCAGUGGCAGAACCUCCCCCUGCCCCCUUGUCAAUCCAUGACACAUAAAUUCAGAGCACACAGAUAGGGCCCUCCAAUCAGUUCAGUAAGAGAUGAAUAAAUUGAGUGAGGGAGGGUGUGUGUGUGUGUGUGUGUAUAUAUAUAUAUAUAAAAAAUUCUAUUUUAAAUUCUAUUAAAUGUAUUUAAACUUUGACAGAUUAAUGUCUUGCUCAGCUCCCACUCCCCAUGAACAAAAGAAAGAUGCUGAUGAGUAGAGCACCCUGUACUCUUCCAGACUCUCAGACAUUCACUCCACUAAAGACUAAUCAUAGAAACUGAGUUAAAAUGAGGCCUUUUAAAAAGAAAGUAUGGGGGAGCCUUGCUCCAAGUUGAGCUUCAUUUUUAAGCUGGCAAGACUGACAAAUGAAUAGAUUUUGAAAAUUCAAUCUGCAAGAAAAAUUCACAUCUUUCCCCCAUGUGUUCAUCCAGUAGCAUCUGUAGAUAAUACCAGUUUUAACUCAAUUUAGUAUCCGUGGCCUAGUGUUAAAAAACAAUCAUAAGCCAUUGAUUUGGGCCUACAAAACGUGAAGUUCUGCAACUGAUCACAAUCAUGGACUCCACAGUAUUUAGUUUCAAAGAGCACAGAAAGCCAGAUACACUGCUGAGUACAACCAGAGAUAAAUAUCCCCUCUAACUGAAAAUCAGUAGCUGGAACUCUAAGGAACUAGCUAACAAGCUAAGGAGCACGAUUUUGCAACAUUAUCUGCCCUGAUUAAAUACUACUCCAACAAACAGAAGAAUUUAGUCUUCAAGAUGGCAGGCAUAAAGCAAAAUCCUCUGUCCAUGGGACUUGAUGACAUGCAGCAUCUUACUCUUUCCUCUUGUGUCCUCCUCAGAGGACGUUGUGUUGCUGCAAGACAGUUUCUCUGAGAGCAGCAAGGACAGUAGGUCCACAAAAACACUGCAGAAUUUAGCACUAGAAAUGCUGGGCACAAAAUUCACUGAGCAAACCUACCAGCUGGAAAUAAAGCAAGCUUUCUAUCUGGGCAAAGGCAAUUUCAGAAUGUCAAAAAACCAAAGCCCACUUAGUACUGGACUCUAGAGAUGUGUCCUAGGGAGACCAGAAAGAGAAAACAGCACAUGAAGUGACUUCAUAUGACUCCAAAUACUAAGGAAAAACUUCUUCAUCCAUCCAGUUUGCAUCUGCAACAGCAAUUUCAGGAAAAUGUUAUUAAAAAACUUUCUUAGCUUUAACCACUCAGAGGGAUUUAUUUCCCUUAGAAGAGUGAAUUAAUCCCUUCUUGUCUCUAAAUACAUGAGUUUUCUUCUGAAUUUCCAGGUACAAACCCCUGAGUACCUAUACAAUUUCUCAAGUAGCCCAUUUAUUUUUCCUGGAGGGCCCAUCUUGAAAUAUCUCUGAUAAUGCCAAGAGUUGGUGUUUCUUUCUCUGAACAGAUGGUAGCCACAAAGGCAGUAUUAAUGCACAAAUGAAGUAGCAGUACCAAAACUCAAGUGGACUCACUGUAAAGUAGAACUAGUCAUGCUUUAGAGAAAAGUAUCUUGCAUCUUUAUGUAAAUAGAUGAUGAUGAAUCCUUUAACAUCUAGACAGAAACCCACACAUAACACUUUAAAUCCCAUUCCCAUGCUCAUAAUACAGUCUUUAAAACCAAUAUGGUUUUAUGCUUGGUUUUCUAAUUUUUUGUGGUUUUAAAAUACACUUCUAUAGACAUUUUAGGAGUUUUUACCUUUGAAUUAGCCCUAGUUUUGAGCAGCAAUUUGAUGAUGAAUUAAUUUUCAUCUUAGAAUAGCUCAUAUUCAGAUUUAAGCAAACCAGAUCUUAUUCAGUUGCCAAAUAAUUCUGAAUAAUUUAUGACGCACAUACUACAGGAUAAUAGUUUAUUUGGGUAGUUCUGACUACAGUCUUAAACUAUCAGAAUUUUUGGCACUAAUGUAUUGACAAAUUCAUUAAAUGCUGGUCAAACACAGAAGCAGUCUUUUUUCAGCAAAAAAAAACCUUUCAGAAUUAUGCCUGACGCCUUUUCUGAUCACAUAAGACAUGAAACUGAAAGCAAGACAAAGAGAAAAGCUGUACAGCCUCAUGGUCUUCUGAAAUACCAGUGUCAUGACAGCCCAUGCUCCAUAGCAUUUGCAUCUUCCUCUGAUAUAGUGACUAAUGUUACAUAGCAGAGCUUUUUCCUGCUAUUCCCUAAAAUUAAAUACAGUAUACAGUAAGUUAUAUACACUUGUAUCAUUGACAGAGAGUAAUACAAAUACUGUGUUGCCAACUCUCAAAUGGCAAACACUGUCUUCAUAUAACUUAAUUUUUUCGGCUGUAUAUAAAGCUUUUCCUUUUUUUCAUGCCUGAUAAUCUGCAUUGCUUAUGUUGCAAUUUUUCUUUUCUUCUUCUCUCCUCAGAACUCUUUGGAAGAAAGGAUUUUACUUAAAAUCAGGAGAAAGUAUUGCUCAUUCUAACACAAGAAUUUAGUCUCCAGUGUCUCUACCUACAUCCAAGGGCACUUGAAACCAUCCUAUUUGUGAUGUGAAAUGGAAGAUCUUCAACCACAGACCAGUUACAGGUGCCCUCCUGCUUCUCCCAUCACAGUCAAAACAGCCAAAUCCACACUGAACCAAAUAAUGCCAAGUAAUUGCUUCCACGUUUUUCUUUCAGACAAUGGAUGUCUCCUUUUUUGCUCUGGAUAUUCCAGACAUGGAAUACACUGUUUAAAGAGACAACAUGCCAAAUAUUCAUCAUGUGGCUGGGUUUCGACUACUGCAGGCUUGGAUUCCUAUCAGUGACCAGGAGUGAAAGAAAAGGUUCCUGACCACUGCAGAUCCACAUUCUCUGUGCUUGCAGCAGUUAAGGAAAGCAGGAUGAACCUGAUGUCCACCUCACUGAGCAAAGAGUCAGUACAUAUAAUCUACCAAGACUCCUAACUUUCAAUUACAGAACACUAUUGAUAACAAAUACUGAUCCUAUUCUGUCUAAAGAAACAAUUAAUUUACAUUCAGAGAAUGAGCACAGCAUGGAAAAAGAAAAAAAAAUCCCAAAGCUAAAUUCAAGCCAUCUGGCAAUAUUUUUUAGACCAGCUAGACAAAUUUCAUUUACUUUUCCCAGGAUCUCUCUAUUCUCUCUGGUCUUGCUUCACUUACAUGCAAUGAAUCUUAAUUUCUGUUUCAUGUAAAGAACUUCUUACUAAGUUCAUCAGGAGACAAACUUAGAUAUUAUUUCUUUGUUAUAUCUUUCAGAGUGAAUGUUUAAUUUUCAAUCAAAGACUCUGCAUUUAGAGUUAUGUCACAAAUUUCGAGACAUUUGAACCACAUCUUAAAAAUCUAAGAAUCAUUAGAUUUCCAGUGUUUAUAGUCAUAGGAAAUACAUGAUAAAUUUGCCUAUGUAGUAUUGCAGUCCAGCUUUACUGCUGCUGUUUUGAGCACAAAGCUGUGUAUCAAAUAGGUAGUGUUGAAUGCCAGGAAGCGUUUUUUCUAUGUCAUUUAGAAACAUCUCACUGUAACAAAAAGAAAAUAUUAUCACAGAAUCGCUCUCUGACACCCGUAAGUCUCCUCACAUCACUCUUCUGAACUUGAUGGCAAUGACAGAAACUGAUAGUUGCUCAUUAACAUGUCCCUCACUGAGCAGAACAGACAUGAAGGAAGGACCCACCACAGGAUAAGAGUAGCACAAGGACAAGCAAGAUAAGCUUCUUGACCACCUGAGCAUUUGCUUUGGAAAAGCUCUCCACUGGAAAUAGUGGGGCAAGGAGUCUGUCAUCCUUAAGGUGGAAUUUAACGUAUUUCCUACAGGAAUUGAUACACGAUCUAGCCUUUUUGAUAAUGCAGGUAUUGCCUAGAGGCUUCAUCAUUUUGUUUCAGAGACAAACAAGUUCUUUCUUUCACAGUAAUUAACUACCUUUAAGUGGAUACAUCCUUUAUGUCAUUGUAACUCAUUUACAGCAAAGCAACUAUUAGAGAAUUUUAGUUCAGCCUGAAGCCAUGAGUGCCAUCACAUCUAUUUUCUGCCUUGACUAAAUUAUACAGGAUACAGAAAGCAUCAUCCUGCCAAGAAGCCUGCAGCUUGAGAGGCUAUUGUGCAUUUAUACAUGCGUGUAUAAAUAAAAAAGAUGUUACAUUCCUGAGAUUUUGUUCCAUGUUUGCAGAUAUUUUAGAGGCAGAAAUGGUUUCCUUUUCUUAUCUUUCUGAAAAUCAAAAGAAACAAGAAACCCCAACAACAUGAAAACCUCCUGAAUUGUAACAUUCCUGAAUAAAGAAUUCAAUUAAAUUUGC